rnacentral:lncRNA from 1 species
UAUAUUACAUACAGACAAACCGAUCAUUUCUAAUGCAAGUGGUAAAGGGCGUAGGUUGAUACCUGAAAUCUCAAGUUCGAAUCCUAGUUGAUUCAUAUUUCCAGCUAAGUUUAUUUUUUAAAAAAAUAAACAAAAUAAAUAGCAUGCUACCUUACUCUCAAUAUAUAUAUAUAUAUAUAUAUAUAUAUAUAUAUAUAUAUAUAAUUAGGCUGGAAUACUAUCAAUAGCACCAAGCUAUUGGUGCUAUUGAUUUUUUAGCCCUUGGAUUGAGAAAUGGGUGGUUAGGAUGAUGUGGGCCCCCUAGGGUUGAGUGAGUGGUUGGUUGAAUAGUAUAAUCUAACGGGUAAAAAUAAUUAAAGGGUUAAAUCUAACGGUGAAAAACUCAAUAGCACCAAAUCCUUGGUGCUAUCGAUAGUACCCCAGCCGGACUCUAUAUAUAUAUAUAUAAAUAUGGCUACUAUAUAUACUCUUAUGAGUAUAGAGCCCUUCGUACUCAUAAGUUGUUUUCGAUGUUGGGAUUUUCGAAUCGACGAACCACACCGUUAAACAUGAUCUAGAGUAUUUGAAACUUCUAGAAAAUAAAUUUCGAAAUUUUUUGAAAUCAUUAUAAAGUCCAUCAAGCGGGUAUAAAAUGAAUGGUUAAGAUCGAACGACAUCCUAAAAAUAGAUAAUCGGAUCCUUCAAUUUAAGAUCGGAGUUAUUGAUCUUUAUUUAGGUAGUGAAUAAAAUUUUCUAUAAAAGAUUCAACCUAUUCCGAUUCUUUUUCACCAUUAAACUAACAAAUAUCUCAUACCGACCGUUAAAAAUUGUCAAUUUUGUGAGCUUUUGAUCGUAAAGUAAAUGAUUUCGAAAAAUUAUAAAAUUUGAUUUUUAGAAGUUUUAAAUGCUCUAGAUAAUGUUUAAUGGUAUGGAUCAUCAAUUCGGAAGCUCUAUCAUCAAAAACAACUUAUGAGUACAAAGACGAUCGUACACAUAAGAGUAUAGUAGCCGGACUCUAUAUAUAUAUAUAUAUAUAUAUAUAUAUAGAGAGAGAGAGAGAGAGAGAGAGAGAGAGAGAGAGAGAGAGUUCAGCUUCUAUACUCUUAUGAGUACGAUCGCCCUCGUACUCAUAAGUUGUUUUCGAUGAUUGAGCUUCCAAAUCGACGAUUUACGCCGUUAAACGUUAUCUAGAGCAUUUAAAACGUCUAGAAAUUAAAUUUUAUAAUUUUUCGACAUCAUUUACGUACCUUACAAUCAAAAGGUCACAAAAUUGACAAUUUUUAACAGUCGGUGUGGGAUAUUUACUAGUUUAACGGUGUAAAAGAAUCGAAAUCGGUUGAAUUUUUUAUAGAAAAUUUUAUUCACUAUAUAGAUAAAGAUCAAUAACUCCGAUCUUAAAUUGAAGAAUCCUAUCAUCCAUUUUUAAGACGUCGUUCGAUUUUGACCGUUCAUUUUAUACCCGCUUGAUGAACUUGAUUAUGAUUUCGAAAAAUUACGAAAUUUAUUUUCUAAAAGUUUCAAAUACUAUAAAUCAUAUUUAACAGAGUGGAUCGUCGAUUCGGAAGCUCCAUCAUUGAAAACAACUUAUGAAUACGAAGUGCUCUGUAUAUACUGAUAAGAUCAAUAACUACAUAGAUAAAGAUCAAUAACUCCGAUCUUAAAUUGAAAGAUCCGAUCAUCCAUUUUUAAGACGUCGUUCGAUUUUGACCAUUCAUUUUAUACCCGCUUGAUGAAUUUUAUUAUGAUUUUGAAAAAUUACGAAAUUUAUUUUGUAGAAGUUUCAAAUACUCUAGAUCAUAUUUAACAGAGUGGAUCGUCGAUUCGGACGCUCCAUCAUUUAAAACAACUUAUGAGUACGAAGUGCUCUAUACUCAUAAGAGUAUAGUAGCAUUAGCCUGUAUAUAUAUAUUACAUACAGAUGAGUUCUCAGUUGAAGGUACAUUGCUUGAGUGGGUUAUGUGAUGGUUGGGUAGGCUUUGUUGUGAGAAACAUUGAGGCUCGGGCUCCCUAGGUUAUUAAUUUGCUCAUAUCUUGUGGGUAUUGCAUGCGCAGUAUGUAGAGUAGAGAUUUAGAGCAGGAUAUUGUAAGUUGAUGCAUGCCGAAUUUAGUAGGUUGGGACAUAGAAACCUAACACUGGUAUGGGACAUGUUUAGAUCAGAUCUUAGCGUCCAAAAGUAGAGGUAAAGUGCCGAGAGACUAGUGUGCAUCGUGUGGGAAAUACUACAAAUAACAUAAGCGAGGAUGAAUAACGUAUUCUCGUCUGAGAGUACUGCGACAAUAGAUCGAGGAUAACUCAGGUGAGGGUGGACACAUCAUUAUGACGAGCUAUUCUAAAGUGAUGCACGACGUAUGAAGGUCGAAGAUACAGGUUCGAGUAUCGUGUUGUGGUUAAGCUGAGUCUUGUGAUCGAUACUAGUAACACAUACUUUUUCUCUCUACUUGCUAUUGUUAUUGCGUCAUUUAAACCAAACUCCUCAUAUUAUAAUUUUUUAGUUACAUCACAUUAUUAUUCGUUCUAUUUGUUCGACUAGGAUCAAUUAUUAAUUCUUUGCGAUCGUAUCCUAAUCACUGAGACCCGUGCACAAUUUAUUUUGCAGUUUCAGAUUAACUAAUGUACUCUAGAUCGAGUGUGGACUUCAUGGUAAGUUGAUACAGUGCAAAUUGCUUACAUCUUAGUAAUAGUUAGUUCAUAUUGUUACAAAUCUGCAUUAUUUUAUGUGUCAUAUGCAUUAAUUCAUAUUCGAAUCACAUUCACUCUUCCUAUAUUGCCCUAUUCUGUACGUAAGUUGUUCCUGUCAGGUGGUAUUUAUGUACAUUUCUGCUUCUACAAAUAAAAUCUUAUAUUUUUAUAAGUAUCGAGUUUGAUUAUAUAUAUAUAUAUAGAGAGAGAGAGAGAGAGAGAGGGGUGUGGUAGUGCCGACACAAAUAAAGAGGAUUUGUAUCGAGACAAUAUCCAAAAAAGAAAUUCAAACAUCUCGCUUCAUACAUAUAAAUGGUAUGUUUUAUAAAAUAACUAAGAUAUUAUAACACAUGUAAGGUCAUAGUUUGUAGCACAUGCUGUGGUCCUCAAUAUUCCCCAUGCACUAGUAGAAUCAAUAAAUUUUUGGACCUAUAACAUUAACUCGUUGAUUUGAGGGUCAAAACACUACCCACAUCUAAAUCUCCACAUGUCACUCUCACAAUCAUUUAGAUGAUAAUGCUUCAAUUUUUUGGUUGAAAAAAAAAAAAUUUGUAAACCUAGGUAUUAAAUUAAAUUCAGUGAUUCUAAUAAGAAAAAAAAAAAAUAGAGAAUGACAAAAAUUAAGCUCCUUUUAUAGUAUUGCUCAAUUGCUGGCCUUUUCUUUGUUAUAUGAUCACUACCAUCAGUGUCCAAAUUAGAGAUGUCAAUGUGUCGGAUUCGGGGCGGAUUUUCAAUAAUUCGAAUCCGAACCCGACUCCAAACCCGAGAUCCAAACCCGAAUCCGAACCUAAACCUGAUAAAAAAUUCGAAAUCCGAACCCGAACCCGAACCCGAAAAUUCGAACCCGAAACAAUUAUUUCUUUUUUCAAUAUUUCAAAAUAUAUUACAUUAAAUCUAAAUUUUUAAAAUACAAAUUUAAAUAUAACAUCAAAUUUUUAUAUGUAUAUUAUAUAUAGUGCAAAAUAAAUUCAGGUUCAUGUCGGGUUCGGAUCGGGUACAGUCAAAAUCCAUAUCCUAAUCUAUAUUCGUCGGAUUUUUAUUUUUGAUAUCCAUAUCCAAAUUCAUAUCCAUUUAGCAUUGAAUAUAUCCAUUCCAUUCGAGUUCGGGUUCGGAUAAAAUUUUGAGUAUCCGACAUCCCUACUCCAAAUCUCUCCCCAUACUAUUCUUAAAUAUUUAGAUUUCUGGCAAUAUUUCAAAAUUGAUAUAUUUUUUAGCAUAUAAAUUAAACUGCAAAAAUUCUCUUACAAAGUUUGAAUUUAUAUAAACAAUUGUGAAAAUCCUAUUUGAGAACCGUUUGGUAGGUAUUAAGGGAAAUCUAAUGCUAUCAUGUCAAAAAGAAUUGGUUUCUUUAUUUUCCAAUAAAAUCGCAGAAAUAUUAAUACUUUAACUAAACCGUUGAUCUGAAAAGUGUAUUAUUUGUUACGAAAAUAAAUAAUGUAUUUUUCUAUUAUACUUUUGAGCCACACAUACAACACAAAUAUCCUGCAUUUCCAAAACAAAAGUAUUAGGUUGAAGGUCUCUAUGCGAAGAGUUCUAUUGUACAUUUGCUUCUGGUUUUGGCCAAAACAUAAAGUAUAUAUAUGCAGAGUUGCUAAAAGCCUAUUAAGUUUUAUAUACAUAACGUUAUGUUAACAUUUAUAUUCGACAAAACCAAACAUCAAGUAAAGACAAAUAUAAAUAGUAACAUCUUUUAAGGAAAAAAAAAAAGCAAAUAAUCCAUUCAUUUCGUUUGGAGAUAAACUCAACUAAAAAUAUUAUCAAACUAUCAAGUUCUUAACCAACUGUGUAAAGGAGGAAUCCAAUAUCGGAUAAGCGUCACCAAUUUGGACGUCUCAAAGCAUCUAACGUCGAAUGUUUGUUUCAUUUGAAUUACAUUUAAUCGUACUACCGACAACCACGUUUUCAAUAACUAUUUAAACUAUUGCAUGUCAAAAGUAUGUUCCAAAUAACAUCAAUUGCUUAUAUCAUUUUCAACGUGCAUGGAAUUAUGAAUUAUUCGAAUCUCUCUCUCAUUGAUUUCGAGAACUGUAGACGUAUCCAAUGCAUGUUAGGAAGUUUCACUAGAAAGUUUUGAUCCAGCUCAAAUUCACAUGCAUGUGCAUGAGUCAAAAGAUAUAAAAUAUCUAAAAGAAAAUCAAUAAGAUUCAAUCCAAAAGCUUAAAUCCACAACUAACUCAAUAGCUACAGAUGAUUCGGAUUCAUCAAACUAUCAACUUUGAUAUUGAUAAUUAGGUUUUUGUAAAUGUAACUCAAUUAAUUAAUCAUUUAAGUUUAAAUUUACUAUAAAUAAAAGUAAAUCCUAACAUAUAAAGGGAUGCUUGAUGUGGUAAGUUUUAUUUCUUUUUAUGUAUUUAAAUUAAAUAAAAUUCUAAUCAAACUUUAAUGAGAAGUCGAUCUGGAGUCUAAAUAAUAAGUGAAUUGUCACGCCCCAGAAAUGUCUCCAAUUCAAUUAACACUACAACAAAAACGGUCUAUAGCGACACUUUUAAGUGUAGAUACAUGUCAAAAAAGUGCUGCUAGCUAAAAUUACCGACACUUUUAAAAAGUGUUGCUAUAUGUGGGGUCGCUAGGUAUAUAGUGACAGUUAAAGAGUGUCGCUAUAACUUAAAAGAGUGCUGCUAAUUUACCAACAACUUAUUUAAGCAUUUAGCAACCGCCGAAACUCUAUCUCGUUGGCUGCGGUGGCGGAGGAGGAUGACAGGAAUAACUCUUCGUCUAGAAUUUCAGUAGAUUGAGUGAAGAGAGAAGAAAAUAUGGUAAUUGAUUUUUCUUUUUUUCUUUUUUUUCUUUUUUGUUUGUAAUCGGGCCAAAUGGACUGGGUGUGGUGGGUUGAGUAGAGUAAUCUUUUAUUUUUUGUUGGAUUGGGCUUUAUAUUUAGGCAUUAGUAGAUGUGUUUUUAAGUUUUAGCAUAAAUGGGACACUUACUCAAAAGUGUCCCAAACAUGUGUCCCUAUAACCUAAUUCUGUUGUAGUGUAAGGACUGUAGAAAUUAAAAUGCUGAUGCCCUGGAGGCCAAUAGACAGCGACAGAUAGCUAGUUUGAGACUAUAACUGUAUUCCGGAUGCUAUGAGAGUGUUAUCAUAAUCUGUUUGAUCACCAUAUUUAAUUAUAGUUGCUAAGAUUAUAUCAUAAAAAUCCAUCAAUUUCUACAAAAACUUAUAAAAAAUAAUGCAAUUUUUCCUAUUUGUUGAGAUCCAGUAUAUCAUAUGAAUUGUUGCUAGCAUCUUCUUAUAUGUAUUUUAGUAAAAUAUUAUCAUCUUUUUCAAUGAAAAAGUAUCUGAGAUAGGAAGAGAAAUCAGUUUGUCCAAAUUCGAAUAGUGACAUUCAUAUUAUAGUUGGAUUUUACACUUUCGCAGAUUGCUUAAUAAAUUCUCUUCUAUGGCACUCAUGUUCAUAUUGCAGUCAGAUUUUAAGCUUUCGUAGAUUGAUCAAAAUUUUCUCUUCUAUGACACUUUGCGAGAUUUAUUUUAUUCUAUUUAUCAUUCUGAAUAGGGAAAACUCCAAAUACCCCCCUUGUGGUUUCAUUCUUUCUCAAUUUAGUACCAUGUGGUUUAAAGUGUAUCAAAUUAGUAUCCUGUGGUUUUGCACUUUCUCACUUUAGUACCCUGUGGUUUCACAUUUUCUCAAUUUAGUGCCCCUGUGGUUUAAAAACCACAGGGUACUAACCUAAUACAAAAAUAAAACCACAUAGUAUUAACUUGAUAUACUUUAAACCACAGGGUACUAAAGUGAGAAAGUGCGAAACCACAGGGUACUAACUUUAUACACUUUAAACCACAUGGUACUAAAAUGAAAAAGUGCGAAACCACAGAGGUUUUUUUUGAAGUUUUCCCUUCUGAAUAUAUAUAUAUAUAUAUAUAUAUAUAUAUAUAUAUAUAUAUAUANUCAUUGGUGCUUGUAAGUUUUUAGCCCUUGGAUUAAGGAAUGUGCGGUUAUGAUGAUGUGGGCCCCUUAGGGUUGAGUGGGUGGUUGGUUGAAUAGUAUAAUCUAACGGAUGAAAAUGAUCCGAGGCGUAGAUCUAACGGUAAAAAAUUUACAAGCACCAAGUGCUUGGUUCUUUUACAAGCACCAUAGCCGGACUCUAUAUAUAUAUAUAUAUAUAUAAGUUGGAAUACUAUCAAUAACACCAAGCUAUUGGUGCUAUUAGGUUUUCGGCUCUUGAAGGAAAAAAUAUACAGUUAGAAUGAUGUGGGCCCUCUAAGGUUGAGUGAGUGGUUGGUUGAAUAGUAUAAUCUAACGGAUAAAAAUAAUGAGAGGGUUAAAUCUAACGGUGGAAAACUCGAUAGCACCAAAUCCUUAGUGCUAUCGAUAGUACCCCAGCCGGACACUCUCUCUCUCUCUCUC